CCAGGCCCAGACGCGUCGUUCCGAAGGCGAGCCGCCAGCCGUUCCGGUUGCUGCGGCUGCUGCCUCAGUCGGUGGAUUGUUGCCGGCGCUGCCUGCCGUCCAGCCACGCCACCGCAUCUUAUAGACGGUCCGAGGCAGUGGCGCCGCAUCCCACAACGUGCUGCCGGGCGCGCUCGUGUUCGAAGCACUGCACCUGACCGAAGGCAGCCUGGAGGCGGACGUCGCCAGCGCCCGAUUCACGGAGGAGGCCACCGGCAGGAUCAUACAGAUGACGUCGGUCGCCAUCUUCAGCGCGAUGCAGAGCAGCCGGCUGGAUUCGUUUAUGCGCAGCCUGGGCGAGAAUUUCGGUCCCACGACCGACACCAUCGCGGUGGCAUUCCCGCGCAACUGGGACGAGGCCCGACUCGAGCUCGAGGCCUUCGAGCGCAACUUUCCGAGAGUGCCGGCCCUGGCCAAUCAAGCCACGGAAUUCAUCGUGGACGAUCAGUUCGCGCCCAUCGGGCGCUUGAAGCUCAUACUGCUGCUUAUCAAGCUGCUCAACUGAAGAGGUUCGAGCAAAGGAUUUGAGCUUGGCGGCGAAGCACACCGUGAGACGACGGCCGUGUCACGUAUAACAGUGUCUCGCGAAACAAGAAAAAAUGAAAAGCGGAACAAGAAGUCUGUGAUCUAUUUUUAGGAUAUCGUACUUUAGUAUUUCCUAAUUAUUCCUUUUUUAUGUUAGAGCUACUGCGUAGUCUCGAUGCACAAAUACACGAUUCAAGCACAGCACGUAUGCAGCGCGUGGAAAGAAUUCAGCGCUACACGCAUAGAUAAUCCCGAGACGCGAAGAGAACAGCUGAGCACUCUUAUUUGCCUCAACACCGAGAUGAACGUAUGAAAUGUGCCACCGGGCUAUCUUUUAAGCAUGAACUGCGUAAUAUUCUGUGAGUCAUUGCCGUGGUGAUAUGGCAUCCUUGAUUAACAUGUCAUCUCGCAUUAUACAAAAGAUAUUUCGCAGUUAAUUUUCUUUGUUGACGGCGCAACCAUCGAGGUGAAAUCGGCAUCAACAUUCUCGGGAAGCUGACGGCAAGUAUAGGAUUACAUCACUCUGCGAGUAUCCAUCCUCGUGGUUGUGUCUCUACGAGUGACACCAUGCUAGAUAACCAUAUUGGUAAACGAAUGAUUACAGCAAUUUAUACGGCGAAUAAA